rnacentral:rRNA from 1 species
GAUGAACGCUAGCGGGAGGCCUAACACAUGCAAGCCGAGCGGUAUUUGUCCUUCGGGACAGAGAGAGCGGCGUACGGGUGCGGAACACGUGUGCAACCUGCCUUUAUCUGGGGGAUAGCCUUUCGAAAGGAAGAUUAAUACCCCAUAAUAUAUCGAAUGGCAUCCUUCGAUAUUGAAAACUCCGGUGGAUAGAGAUGGGCACGCGCAAGAUUAGAUAGUUGGUGAGGUAACGGCUCACCAAGUCAGUGAUCUUUAGGGGGCCUGAGAGGGUGAUCCCCCAGACUGGUACUGAGACACGGACCAGACUCCUACGGGAGGCAGCAGUGAGGAAUAUUGGACAAUGGGUGAGAGCCUGAUCCAGCCAUCCCGCGUGAAGGACUAAGGCCCUAUGGGUUGUAAACUUCUUUUAUACUGGGAUAAACCUACUUACGUGUAAGUAGCUGAAGGUACAGUAUGAAUAAGCACCGGCUAACUCCGUG